rnacentral:rRNA from 1 species
CAGUAGCCGCGGUAAUACGAAGGGGGCUAGCGUUGUUCGGAUUUACUGGGCGUAAAGCGCACGUAGGCGGACUUUUAAGUCAGGGGUGAAAUCCCGGGGCUCAACCCCGGAACUGCCUUUGAUACUGGGAGUCUUGAGUUCGAGAGAGGUGAGUGGAAUUGCGAGUGUAGAGGUGAAAUUCGUAGAUAUUCGCAGGAACACCAGUGGCGAAGGCGGCUCACUGGCUCGAUACUGACGCUGAGGUGCGAAAGCGUGGGGAGCAAACAGGAUUAGAGACCCCAGUAGUCCCUGUCUCUUAUAC